rnacentral:lncRNA from 1 species
CAUUUUAUUGGACCUUUUUGUGGAAAAUGUCAUUUACAUUUAGAAAUCAUGACUUCUUCUGUUGCUAAAUUCUACAUGUUCCUCUGUCUUGUUCUUCUCCUUAUUUCCUCAUGUGGUAAAAACUAAGUUACCUAUAUUUCUCUCAUGCUUUAUUCUUUAAUAUUCUUUCACCAAAAAAAAUAUUUAAUAUUAAUAUUUUUCUUUUGAUGUGAAGUAACGGAAGCAAAACUUUGUGGAAGGCCAAGUAGAACAUAUUUAGGUCCUUGUACUGACUGGGACUGUGAUAAAGAGUGCAUUGAUUCGGAGUUGGAUGCAAUGUUAGGUUCUUGUGAAGGCUCUUAUUGCUUCUGCUUCUUCAAUUGUUGAACACUAGGUUUUAGAUCAAGCAAUUAACCACCGGUGAUUUGCAUGCGACAGUGAAUGCAGGCCUCGACGAGUUUAUGCUGCUCUGCGUCUUUCUUCUGAAGACGAGACAACUCUGCACCUGGUUUCUGGUUGUUCAUGGGGUCUGUUUAGUUAUCUGAGGUGGUUGCGCCCUGGUUUAGUAAUUCUGUUUUGCACCUAGAGGUUGUUAGUAGCUAGAUUUUGCCUUUUUCCCUCUAUGUUUUUGUGUUUGCUAUUGUUCCAUUUUUAGGGUCCAUUCGGAUUGAUUUAUUUUUGAGUUUAUUCCAAAAUAACUUAUGCAAAUAAAUAAGUUUUUAUGUAUUAGUAU